UUUGUGAUGACUUCUUCAAUCACAUACACACACACACACACACACACCUCCCUCAGCCCUACACAAAUCCCAUGAGCCUCUCUGACUGACGGUGUCGGCUGACAAGGUGCCAGCUCAGGCUUGGACCGGAUCGAGUGCGCUUCUGGCCCGGGUUGGGGCUUGUUGUGUUUCAUAGUUGGCUACUCUCUAGGCACACCGCCGAAAGGGAAUUCCUCAGUCGGCCCUAUAAAGUGAAGCCCUGCUGACAAGCACAAGGAAGGGACAGGGAGUGUUCUCAGCCCCACGUCCACAUUUGUCCCGGUUUUCCCCACCCCAAUGACCACUCCAGACCCCGGCUCCAGCUCCAGACGUUUGUGGUUUCCUUAGGCGUCCAUAUGUGAAUGCUCUCUGUCUGGUCCAGCCACAGCCAAGGCAGAGAAGGUCAUCUAGCAGCAGACACAGACACCUUAUGGCCAAGACCAGCUCAAUCCAGCCUCUACUCUAUCUGUCCCUGUCCCCGUUAGCGUUAGCAUCCUGUGCGUUUCUCAAUGGCCCUUCAUGCAUCCGCCCCACCGUCAAAGCUAGUCAGGCUAAUGUGGCUAGCAGACCUGUCCCCACUUAGUAACAACCCACAUAGGCUCCGACUGAAAGGCAUCUGGAGCGGCUCUGUCCUAGACCAGGGCCAGGUGGGGUCAAGAAUCCACUGCUACCUAAGAUUGCGAGGAAUACUAGACAGAGGUGGUAUGGGUACCUGAUCUGAUCAGCUGUUACUACAGUCUCAAUCCCAGACCCUUACAUCAACUGUGCUGGUACAGUGGACACACACACACACACACACACACACAUAUCCCCAAGGGCGAGUUUUAGCAGUUUUGUUAUUGAUUUUGAGAGGUGGUGGGAAAUACAGUGGUACCUUUGUCCUCCGUACCUCCUCCCUCAAACACUCACACAAACACACCCUCACACACCCUCACACACACACACACACACACACUCAUAUCUGUACCCCUGUUACCUUAGUCUUGCCCCAUUUGGUCCUUCCAGAUGGUUCCCAUUUCAAUCUGUGUGUUUUGAAAGGUGUGUGUCUCUGUGGUGUGUGUGUGUGAUAUACCCCCAUUUGAUUUUGAUUUUGAUUUCCUCCUCUGCAAGUGCACUUUUUUGAUUGUUUAUAUACUGUACCUAUAGAAUUGUACAAUUUUUUAGUAAUUUAAAUAUAUGCCGACAUACAGGAAGAGAGUCUAUAGAAGUAAUCAUUCCUUACUAAAGAGCAACUGAGGUGUUUUGUUUUGUUGUUUUACUCAUCCUGGUUGGUUGAUUGAUUGAGGCCAGUGAUUGGUCCAUCGCCACCCAAUCACGCCUAGUCUUGGUGGCUUGACGUCUCCUGUGUGUCUAUAGGAAGCACUUUUUUUAUGGAUGCCUGAAAGUCUAUAGUUCAUCCGACUCAGUUGAUACAGUGUACAUGUUACAGUGGGUGUGACUGACGGUUAUUUUUAAAACUGUUAUCUGUUUUAUUAACAGUUUAUAUCAACACCUUCGCUGAGAUCGUGCUUUAGGCAAUCCUCACCUAGCUGUGACCGUUAGACCAAAAUUGUUUCCAAUGAAACACUGCAUCUUAUCUGCAUGUGGAAAGCCAUGAUGCCCGUGUCACGAUUGGGUUUAUUUAUAUUCAUGUUUUUAAGUUUUAUCCUUUCACCAACCCAAAUGGCGGUUUAUUCAGGGCCCUGUCUGGGCCAGAACUGGCCCUAGUCUGGGCCAGAACCGGCCCGCGUCUGGGACCCGCUUAGAAGAUGACGGCCCGAGGCGCUGCACAGGUCCUCAGUUGUUGCUUAGUAACCGGUGUGAUGCGUUCAUCUACAAAUGCUGUAUAUCUGGAGUCAUGUAUACUGUACAUAGGACUGAUUCUAUCUGUGGAUGAUUGUUCAGGGGGAGGGUGCUUGACUUGAUUUAGUCUGGUUUAUUUUAAAGAUGGA
ensembl:lncRNA